rnacentral:rRNA from 1 species
UGGGGAAUAUUGGACAAUGGGGGCAACCCUGAUCCAGCGAUGCCGCGUGGGUGAAGAAGGCCUUCGGGUUGUAAAGCCCUUUAGGUUGGGAAGAAGGUUAGUAUUUUAAGGGAUAACUAAUUUGACGGUACCGACAGAAUAAGCACCGGCAAACUCUGUGCCAGCAGCCGCGGUAAUACAGAGGGUGCGAGCGUUAAUCGGAGUUACUGGGCGUAAAGGGCGCGUAGGCGGUUAUAUGAGUGUGAUGUGAAGGCCCUGGGCUUAACCUAGGAAGUGCAUCGCAAACGAUAUGACUGGAGUAUAUGAGAGGGUGGUGGAAUUUCCGGUGUAGCGGUGAAAUGCGUAGAGAUCGGAAGGAACGUCAAUGGCGAAGGCAGCCACCUGGCAUAAUACUGACGCUGAGGCGCGAAAGCGUGGGGAUCAAACAGGAUUAGAUACCCUGGUAGUCCACGCCCUAAACGAUGUCUACUAGUUGUCGGGUCUUAAUUGACUUGGUAACGCAGCUAACGCGUGAAGUAGACCGCCUGGGGAGUACGGUCGCAAGA